rnacentral:lncRNA from 1 species
CCCAGUGGUUUUGCAUUUCUAUCAUAAGUACUAUUUAAGAUAAGCAUUUGAAUAGCAUAUUAGCAACACUUUUCUUGACAGAUAAUGUUGAGGUUCCUAUUGCACUCAGUAGUGGCACUCAAGCUUUACAGUUUUCAGAGGUUCUGUAGGAUUCCAUAUAAAUCCAUACAAGCUACUUUUUUUUCCUAUUUCUCAACAGAACAUGUACUUAAUCAACAGCAAUCCAGUCUUCUGUAUCAACCAUCUUCACUUCCUAUGGGAAUGGUGUUUUUCUAUCUCAUCUUUCAGCAUCCAGCCCACAUGAAUACAUGGCCCUGUAUAUAACUGAGCAAGCCGAAGAAAGCAUUUGAUACAUGUUCCCAUCAAAGCUGUGUGCUUUAUGUGUGCUGCCUCAAGCCUGCAGUACCAGCACUGGACACCACACCUUUUGGAAGUACAAAUACAGUGCAGGCAGCUGUUGUAGAAGCUUCCCUGUG